UACGGGGGGGGGUAAGCGUUGUUCGGAAUUACUGGGCGUAAAGGGCUCGUAGGCGGCCAACUAAGUCAGACGUGAAAUCCCUCAGCUUAACUGGGGAACUGCGUCUGAUACUGGAUGGCUUGGAUUCGGGAGAGGAAUGCGGAAUUCCAGGUGUAGCGGUGAAAUGCGUAGAUAUCUGGAGGAACACCGGUGGCGAAGGCGGCAUUCUGGACCGACAUUGACGCUGAGGAGCGAAAGCCAGGGGAGCAAACGGGG
rnacentral:rRNA from 1 species